rnacentral:misc_RNA from 1 species
AGUUGUUGACCAUUGGAAUGCU